rnacentral:rRNA from 1 species
GCUAUUACAUGCAGUCGAGCGGACCGGAAAGAAGCUUGCUUCUAUUCGGUUAGCGGCGGACGGGUGAGUAACACGUGGGCAACCUGCCCGUAAGACUGGGAUAACUUCGGGAAACCGGAGCUAAUACCGGAUAACACGAAAGACCGCAUGGUCUUUCGUUGAAAGGCGGCGUAAGCUGUCACUUACGGAUGGGCCCGCGGCGCAUUAGCUAGUUGGUGAGGUAACGGCUCACCAAGGCGACGAUGCGUAGCCGACCGGAGAGGGUGAUCGGCCACACUGGGACUGAGACACGGCCCAGACUCCUACGGGAGGCAGCAGUAGGGAAUCUUCCGCAAUGGACGAAAGUCUGACGGAGCAACGCCGCGUGAGCGAAGAAGGUCUUCGGAUUGUAAAGCUCUGUUGUUAGGGAAGAACAAGUACCGCAGUAACUGGCGGUACCUUGACGGUACCUAACGAGAAAGCCACGGCUAACUACGUGCCAGCAGCCGCGGUAAUACGUAGGUGGCAAGCGUUGUCCGGAAUUAUUGGGCGUAAAGCGCGCGCAGGCGGUUCUUUAAGUCUGAUGUGAAAGCCCACGGCUCAACCGUGGAGGGUCAUUGGAAACUGGGGGACUUGAGUGCAGAAGAGGAGAGCGGAAUUCCACGUGUAGCGGUGAAAUGCGUAGA